UUGUAAUAGACUUUGAUUCUGUGUUACUUUCUUAGAAUUCUAAUUAGUUGAUUUGUGCCUGUUACAUUUUCUGAUUUGGUGUUAUUCUGUUUCAGUCUUGAGUUCUAUAGUUAAAUUGCUUUUUCGUUCAUACUGGUUCUAGGCUUUCUAUUACAGUUUUGUUCACUUUUAGAUACAAUUUCUAAGUCUGUGAGAUGUUGAAUUUUGAUAGAUAGUUGAUGUUAGGAUUUUUUUUAAUUGGUUGAUAAUAGCUUAGCUUUUUAUUGCUUGAUUUUAGUUGUUGUUCUGUGAUGAUAUAGUCUUUGCAUUUACAAUUAGAUUUCUAGAAUAGGUAUAUAACUAAAAGAUUCAUUAGUUUAAAUCAUUUUAAUUUCAGUAUUGCAUUUUUUUAGUUUAGGUGUUAUUUCUUGUUCUUUUAUUUCACUUUAUUUCUUUUCUUUCAAACAGAUUUUAAUUCAGUUUUAAUUCUUUUAUUUUUCAUUUCAUUUUUUUUAAUGUCCCCACCUAGUUUCAUAGUAAAUAAGUAGUAAAUAAGUACAAGACUUUAACCAUACACUUUAAGCUUAACAAGCGAGUCCUAGGAUUGAUAUUCUGGUCAUCCCUAUGCUACAUUAGUGGGGACCAGUACUUUGUUCUCUUUUUGUG
rnacentral:lncRNA from 1 species